rnacentral:lncRNA from 1 species
CGCCGGAAGACGGCAGCUGAGAAAACCUAGAGAUGAGCGAAUAAAGGACGACGUCUGCUUGCUGAGAAUGCGGGAGUAGUCCAAACUGGAGGAGGAUUCCAAAGCAGAACUGGGGAGAGAAAGGUCAGCUUUGUUCACCUACUGUUUGUCUGGUUGUGAGUGAAAAUCCAGAGGAAGACCGUUAUCAUCUUACCUAUUGACAAUGCAACCACAGGUGAGUAGGGAAUUCUUUAACUGAAAUUACCCAUUUGUUGCCAGCAAAUGAUCAAGUUC